ACACGGUGACGGAGAUCGUCCCGUGCCGUCCUCCCGAGGCAGUGCCGUACUCCUCGUGAGCACGGACCAGCGGCGGUUGGACCGGAGCCACAAGGCGGCGGAGGAAGGUGAGUCGACACGGGCCCGUCCCGUGUCGACGGCUUACAGCCCCGUCGUACGGCGCUCCGGCCCGACCGAGGAAGAUGGGCAGCCCUUGCCCACCGUGGCGCACGCCGAAUGGCGGGGCCUCCCGACACGAGUGAACGGUGCGGUGUGGACUGCACGCAGUGCAAACCGUGGCCGUGAUCUCGCGGCGGUGAGCGUCACCCGUGCGCCAGUGCCGCCGGUAUUCAGAC
rnacentral:misc_RNA from 1 species